UACGAAGGGGGCUAGCGUUGUUCGGAAUUACUGGGCGUAAAGCGCACGUAGGCGGUUUUGUAAGUUAGAGGUGAAAGCCCGGAGCUCAACUUCGGAAUUGCCUUUAAGACUGCAUCGCUUGAAUCAUGGAGAGGUCAGUGGAAUUCCGAGUGUAGAGGUGAAAUUCGUAGAUAUUCGGAAGAACACCAGUGGCGAAGGCGACUGACUGGACAUGUAUUGACGCUGAGGUGCGAAAGCGUGGGGAGCAAACAGG
rnacentral:rRNA from 1 species